GACUUUGUGGUCGAGUGGUAAGGGCGCUUGUCUCUCACCCUGGAGCUCCGGGUUCGAUCCCCGGUUGAGGAACU